rnacentral:rRNA from 1 species
AACGAACGCUGGCGGCAUGCCUAACACAUGCAAGUCGAGCGCCCCGCCAGGGGACUGGCAGCCGGGUGAUUAACGCCUGGGAACUUACCUUUUGGUUCGGAACCUCUCUGUGAAACUGGAACUACUUCCGGAUACGCCCUCACGGGCCAAGGUCUAUCUCCGAAAGAACGGCCCGCGUCUGAUUAGCUAGUUUGCGAGGUAACGUCUCACCAACGCGCCGAUCUGUACCUGUUGUGAGAGUAUGGUCAGACACACUGGGGCUGAGACACGGACCGGACUCCUACGGAAGGAAGCAGUGGGGAAUAUUGGACAAUGGGCGAAAGAAUGAUCCAGCCAGGCCGCGUAAGUGAUGAAGGCGUUAAGGUUGUAAAGCUCUUUUGACCGGGAAGAUAAUGACGGUACCGGAAGAAAAAGCCCCGGCUAACUUCGUG